rnacentral:rRNA from 1 species
UGGCGACCGGCGCACGGUGCGUAACGCGUAUGCAACCUACCCAUAACAGGGGGAUAACACUGAGAAAUUGGUACUAAUACCCCAUAACAUCAGGACCGGCAUCGGUUCUUGGUUGAAAACUCCGGUGGUUAUGGAUGGGCAUGCGUUGUAUUAGCUGGUUGGUGAGGUAACGGCUCACCAAGGCAACGAUACAUAGGGGGACUGAGAGGUUAACCCCCCACAUUGGUACUGAGACACGGACCAA